GACAGAGGGUGCGAACGUUGUUCGGAAUUACUGGGCGUAAAGCGCAUGUAGGCGGCAGCGCAAGUCGGGCGUGAAAUCCCACGGCUCAACCGUGGAAGUGCACUCGAAACUGCGCAGCUAGAGUCCUGGAGAGGAAGGUGGAAUGCUUGGUGUAGAGGUGAAAUUCGUAGAUAUCAAGCGGAACACCGGUGGCGAAGGCGGCCUUACUGGACAGUGACUGACGCUGAGAUGCGAAAGCGUGGGGAGCGAACAGG
rnacentral:rRNA from 1 species